UGCCAGCCGCCGCGGUAAUACCGGUGGCUCGAGUGGUGGCCGCUAUUAUUGGGUCUAAAGGGUCCGUACCGGCCUGAUAAGUUACCUGGGAAAUCCGGUGGCCUAACCAUCGGCGGCCAGGUAAUACUAUCAGGCUCGGGACUAGGAGAGACCAGAGGUACUCAUGAGGUAGGAGUGAAAUCCUGUAAUCUUAUGAGGACCACCAGUGGUGAAGACGUCUGGUUAGAAUAGGUCCGACGGUGAGGGACGAAGGCUGGGGGCGCAAACCGGAUUAGAUACCCGGGCAGUCCCAGCAGUAAACGAUGCCAGCUAUGUGUUGCUGGAACCAUGGGUUCCAGCAGUGCCGAAGGGAAGCCGUGAAGCUGGCCACCUGGGAAGUACGGUCGCAAGGCUGAAACUUAAAGGAAUUGGCGGGGGAGUACCACAACCGGUGGAGCCUGCGGUUUAAUUGGAUACAACGCCGGGAAUCUUACCGGAGGGGACAGCAGUAUGAAGGCCAGGCUAAAGACCUUGCCAGAUCAGCUGAGAGGAGGUGCAUGGCCGUCGCCAGUUCGUACCGUGAGGCAUCCUGUUUAGUCAGGCAACGAUCGAGACCCGCAGUCUUAUUUGCCAGCAUGCCCUUUGGGGUGUAUGGGUACAAUAAGGCGAACGCCAGCGCUAAGCUGGAGGAAGGAGCGGGC
rnacentral:rRNA from 1 species